UACGUAGGGCGCAAGCGUUGUCCGGAAUUAUUGGGCGUAAAGAGCUCGUAGGCGGCUUGUCACGUCGGAUGUGAAAGCCCGGGGCUUAACCCCGGGUCUGCAUUCGAUACGGGCAGGCUAGAGUGUGGUAGGGGAGAUCGGAAUUCCUGGUGUAGCGGUGGAAUGCGCAGAUAUCAGGAGGAACACCAAUGGCGAAGGCAGAUCUCUGGGCCGUAACUGACGCUGAGGAGCGAAAGCAUGGGGAGCGAACAGG
rnacentral:rRNA from 1 species